rnacentral:rRNA from 1 species
UACGGAGGGAGCUAGCGUUGUUCGGAAUUAUUGGGCGUAAAGGGCGCGUAGGCGGUCCUGUAAGCCCGGCGUGAAAACCUGGAGCUCAACUCCGGGCCUGCGCUGGGAACUGCGGGACUAGAGUCAUGGAAGGGAAGUUGGAAUUCCAGGUGUAGGGGUGAAAUCUGUAGAUAUCUGGAAGAACACCGGCGGCGAAGGCGAACUUCUGGCCAAUGACUGACGCUGAGGCGCGAAAGUGCGGGGAGCAAACAGG